rnacentral:rRNA from 1 species
CCUACGGGUGGCAGCAGUAGGGAAUAUUGGACAAUGGGUGCAAGCCUGAUCCAGCCAUGCCGCGUGCAGGAAGAAGGCCUUCUGGGUUGUAAACUGCUUUUAACUGGGGAUAAAAGACUCUUGCGAGAGGCAUUGAAAGUACCAGUUGAAUAAGCCACGGCUAACUACGUGCCAGCAGCCGCGGUAAUACGUAGGUGGCAAGCGUUGUCCGGAUUUAUUGGGUUUAAAGGGUGCGUAGGCGGUCCAUUAAGUCAGCAGUGAAAUACGGCAGCUUAACUGUCGAGGUGCUGUUGAUACUGGUGGACUUGAGUACUGAUGAGGUAGGCGGAAUGGACGGUGUAGCGGUGAAAUGCUUAGAGAUCGUCCAGAACACCGAUAGCGAAGGCAGCUUACUAAGGAGUAACUGACGCUGAGGCACGAAAGUGUGGGGAUCAAACAGGAUUAGAUACCCUUGUAGUC